UUUGACUUCAAGAUAAUCUUGUGACAUCCACAACUCAAUCAACUUAUCUUUAUAAAUUUCAUAAUCCUUAGGAAACGUGGCACAAUACAAGAGACAACGUUUGGACAGUGGUUCUAAAUCAUAGUAACUUAGUAGUAAAGGUUGAAAAACCUGCUGCUCAACCUCUUGUAUUUCCCAUAUCUUACUAUUUAAAACAUCUACCCAUUGCUCUAUUGUAUUCUUAUACCGCAUUAGACUACCCAAAGUCUUUGCAGCAAGAGGCAAGCCUUUGCACCUUUUUACAAUUUUAUUACCAAUAUCUUUAAACUUUUCAGACUCUUUUCUUUCACCAUCGAAAAAUGCAAUAUGAUAGAACAAUGACUGACAAGUUUCUUCACUUAACUCCUGUAAACGGAUAGUGUUACCGCUAGUCGUUCCCAUUGCACUAGCAACUUGCGCUAUACGCGUUGUAACUAAAAUCCUACUCCCUGAGGCACCACAGAGUAAUGUUGUCAAGAAGGGCUCCCACUUUCUAUGAUCUGAGUCCCAAACAUCAUCUAGGACGAGAAGGAACUUCCUGCCCUCAAUAGAGUUAGAUAUAUGUUGAACAUAUGUUUCUAACUCAUCUGAAUUUGGGACAACUACUUUAAGACUCUCUAGGAUGGCUUUUGCAACCGCAAUUUGUACAAAGGGUUCUGAGACACAAACCCAUAUUCUUGUAUGAAAACAAUCUUUUACCAUAUCAUCAUUAUAGGCUAGUUGGGCAAGAGUUGUUUUUCCUAUCCCCCCUAAACCAACAAUAGAUAUGACAAGAGGCUUCUUCCUUUCUUCACUAUUCUCACUCACUAACUGGCUCACUAGUUUAUUCAUUUCAUAGUCCCUACCAAAUGUCCCAGAUUUAUCGACAAUAGAAAAACUUUUCAAUCGAGCAGGUUGCUCAAUUUCAGUUUCAUUGCGAUGGAAAUUAUAAAAUUUCCGUUGUUCGUGAAUCAAAGCUAACUUCUCAUUCAGCUCUUUUAUCCUCACAGCAAUGUCACGACGAAAAAUUAUCUGAUUGACUUGGCUAUUGCAAAGACAAUGCAUGGGAAUAGAGAAACAUACCUUCUUCUUAGGUAUAAUAGCAUUUUCACCUUGUUUCUCGAUUUGCUGUUUCAGGAUUUCAUACCUCCACUCGUCCACCACAUCGUCUAUCUCAAACGACACUUCUUUGAGAUUGUUGAGCCAGCGUCUCACGUUGGCCUCCUUCACUUGCCUCCUCUCUGCAUCCGCAAGCACAUCUUGAAUAGUUUCAAGGUUAAGGGUGAGGUUUAUUACUUCUUUUUUGACAUUCACAACAAGUCUCACGUUUUGUUCAACUUGUUGGAAAAGGAUAGAACCCAACUGUUGUACAAGGAAGGAUACAAGUGCUUCAGACAUUUUGGUGUUUGGAAAUGGAUCGACUGACGACAAGAAAUUGGAAAGGGAGAAGAUGAACUAGCUCAAAGUAGGAAGAAUUUCUUGUGUACACACAAAGGGCAAGUGACACGGUGGAGAAGAAAUCAAGAAGAUGUGGUUGUGGUUUCCUCCCUACAAACCAGCUUUAUAUAAUGAGAAGUGAAGAUAUCUUGGUGGAAAAUUUAAGCAUCAGUAUUUGGUACACAAGCAGUAAACCAUUAACAAGCGAGGAAUUUUUGAAUGCUUAGGGAGAACGUAAUUCUUUGUCCAUUGCCUUUAUUCUCCUCACUUUGUUCCUUACUUGUUAGCAACCAAAUACAAAUGAUUCAAAUGAAGAUUUAUCCAUCCCAUGUUAUUCCUUACUUCUAAGCAACCAAAUUGAUAUGAAAUUCUUCUCAAAACAAAUAUGACAUGAAGAUUGCUAGAUCCAUGCACAACUUCUUUCUCAAGAACCCUACUUAUUGUUUUCCUUUACUUUUUAUCAUAGUGUUUCUAUUCUAUGAUCUUCAUUUCCCAUGGUUCUCCUGUUCUCCUUUUUCUAUUUCAAUGUUAUAUUUAUUUUUUUUAUUUUUUCAAAAUGGUUUCAAAUUCAAUUUUGGUUUGGUCUCUGCACGGAAUCAGCGUUUCUCCUACCAAUGCCUACAAAGUAUAACUCCAUUAACACAUCAUUUUUAUUAUUACCACACCAUUUCAGUUUUAUUUACAAUUAUGUUACUUGAAUUUGUUACAUGAUUGACUCUCGAUCAUAAAUAUGGUGCGUUAAUAACACCAACUUUUAAAUAAAUGCUAAAUCACUUUCUUUCCGGGUCUGUACUCUGUUCUGUUUAGGAUGAGUUUCAAACCCUAGGAGAGAAUAAAAUCCCCUACGACCAAAUAGAAAACAAAUAACAAACUGAGACUCCAUCCAACAUCAGGUUCAACUUUAUUUCCCAGGAAAGCAAUCAACUUCAUGCAGCAUAUAUCAAACCCGCAAAAAUUAAAGAAAUUUGGUUGUUCCAGAAGUAGAUACAGAUUUUAUUUACAGAGCAAACGGUGCUUUUUUUAGGAAAGGCAUACACAUUACACAAAUCAAACAUACUCGAAGAUCGAGUUUUCUUCGUAUCUCUGGCAGGAUUUUAGAAUUCCCUCUCAGGGAACAGAAUUGGAGCCAAAAGGGACCAGAUGUAGAGAUCUGCAGUUGCCCAACUAGGCAUGACCCUCACCCAGACGGACGGCCACCCCACAUCAAUCAGCUGACUUGGCUUUCUCAUUUUCUUCACGUUCUUCCGGCUUAUCCAAUGGGAGCAGUGGUUUCCCAGCACCUUCACCAUGCAACUGGUUUUAAAAAAAUUAAAUUAAUUGUUUGCAGAUACAAAACUUGAUAAGCCUUUCGAAUUAAAAACCAAUCAUCAAGGACAGUUGUUCAAAAAAUUAAAACCUCAUUGUAAGUCAGUUUUGAUGUACAAUUUUCACAGAAAAAUAGAGCAACUUCAUAAAAGCCAAAACAUUUAAAGAUACUGUCACGAAUUACCUGCACGAGGUGAACUAGGCGGGGACAAAAGAGUUGUGGAAGAUCCAGCACGCACAGCAGAAUAAACCACAGAAAGAACAGUGGUAAGCAAACCUAAGGUAAGAGUCCCAGUGGAAACAGCUUUAGAAUGCUUGUGGAGACCAUUGCACUCAUAGUCCCUCGGCUCACUAGCAAGUGCACUAUAGCAGAGAUAUGUACAGUACACAGAUAUAACUGACGCGGGUAAAAUGCUGCCACCUACCUGUGUAACAUCAAAAUAGAGACCAAGGAAUCCAAAAGGUCAUUACAUUUAACAAUGAAUUUGCACAUUUCUACAUACAAAACAGAAUUACAUACAAUAUCCAGGUAUUUAUAAUAUGAAAAUCUGGUUGACCGGUUUACCCAAAAAAAAAAAUUUCUAUGCAACCAGAAAGCUAAGCAACAUGCAAGUACUGUGUUGGAUUUAUGAUGGGACUCAUAUUAGGAGAUACAAUAAAUGAAUAUACCAAUCAAAUGUAAAACUGGAGCAUUGGUAUUGUAUCUGGUUUUUCUUAUUUGGCCAGCAGUUAGUCUUAUGUCAUCUCAAGAGCAUAAACCACUGUCUUCAAAAAGAACAGUGACGUAGUUAUAUCAUCAGGGUUUAAAUUAUAAACCACUGUCUUCAAAAAGGACAGUGACGUAGUUAUAUUAAACUUAAAAUGUGAAUAUUCUAAUAAACAAGAACAAAGUCUAUUGAUCAAUCCCUCUAUGUUAGCUUUCUUUCUUAUCUAUUGAUCAAUCCCUCUAUGUUGGCUUUCUUUCUUAUCAUUCUAGGGAAUUAAAUUUGUGGUUUCUGUGUGGCUACUAACGAUGAUAUCCUUAUAAAACCUAAAAGGGCUUCUCUUAAUUAAAGUGCGCUAGAAGUUAGGAAUCUACAUUAGUGAAUAUGGUACUAACAAAGCAUAAAAGGUUAUAGAGACAGUAAUAGAAGCAAUAAAACAUGAUUAAGAAACUUACAGUAGGAUGCAGUGCCACUAUAAGAAAAACGAAAACGAAUAUCAGAGUCAUUACGAUGAAGAAGGUAUUGAGUCUGCAGUCAUGUCCAGAUGGCGUGAACAAAUGGAAAAGAAGUCCACAGAAGACGAAUGUUGCCAGAUAACAAACUAGAGAAACAACAAAAAGAGCAACAUACCUGUGUAAACAAUGAAGAUAGAACUAAACUCAGAAAAUGGAAGUACAAAUCUGAAUAUACACACGACAAUUAUGAAAGAAUAAACUAACCAGAACUGCUCAUCAUAUGAAACCCAUUUGUUGUUCCAUCCAUGAACAAAAUCCAACAGAAGCACAACUUGUACGAGAAGAAAGAAUCCUGAGCCAAACUUUGCAAUUGUCUCUGCAUAAAUGACAUAUAAUUAUCAAUAUUGGCCAAAUAAUUCAAAUGCACAAUUUUCAAAUGACAAAUUUUACGUAAACUUAAUUGUAGUCAUUUUCAUCUAUCUACAAUUAUAUGAUUUCAAGGAGUUUGUUGUCUGUUCAACAUUUAAUAGCUCAUCUAGUUUAGCAUUGAACUGAGGCUUAGCAAUUAUCUCCUGAUGGCCUAGAAAUUGUACAAACCGCAGGUCCGCAGUGCAAAAUAGGGUUAUAUACAUUCUAAUGAGAAGAGGUCAUUCGAGCGUAGCUAAAUAGGUACUAUGUUUACAUAUAGAUCCCUAAGUUGUUACAUUCUAUUUAGGAUUAGGAUAGGCAUAAUCAGACCUGCUUUUUACAUCUUUGAAAAGAAGAUAAAAGUAAGGGUAUAAAUAGUCCUUACCAUAGAAACUAAUAAACCCAUUUGGCACGAAAUACAAGGAGAAGAGCACCAAGAGGAACCAGCAAGUGACUUUCAUCAUCCAUCCACCAUGGUGGAUACUGUCACGGGGAUCCUUCUGCCUCUUGACACCAAUCAUCACAACAGACAGGAUGGUGAAGAACAGAGUAUGAGUCAGAAUUUCAUAUUAUAGUAUGAGAUUGAGAAUAUAUGUUUGACACCCGCUUGGUAGAGUGAAGGAGCUCAGGUGGUAUCUUGUAGAGGUCUUCAUCAACCGGCUUGGGAGGCCUCCUUGGUCGCAAAACGGCAUCGUUGCGGCGAGUGUGAUACUGCUGGUAGUGUAGCUUUGCCAGUUCAGUCACUCCGUCAUGGACCUUAGCUUGAUGCUGCUGCUUCUUUUGCUCCUUGACAUGCGGGUUAUGAGUGCAUCUCUUUUCUCUCCCUCUUGCAGUUGUCUGCAAUUACAGUGUCACCAUCAAAGGUCAUGAGUAGACAUAAAACGAUAUCAUUUCAUUAGUCCUCUCAUCACCACUUCAUCAACAGCUUUUACUUACUGAAUGACAUUGAUGGGUGCUUAGGUAUUUGUUAAUUUGGUCACUCAAAACAGAAAACUGGUCGAGUAUGCUUUGAUCUUACAACGUGUCACAUUGGUAAGAGGAAACUGAAAUAAUCAUAUUUAUAUAGAUAUGGCGUUGUAAAAUACGAGUAUGCAAGUAUCUACUCAAGUAUAAUGUACUAGCGAACAUUAGAAAAUCGAGUACUUCAAAAUCAUAGUUUCAAAGUCCUGAGUUUUUGAAAUGGGUUUAAUUUCUUCUAAAAUCAUAGGGCAUGGCAUUCAAUCUUAAAAAUUUGAGUCUGCUUAGAUGUUCAUAGUAAUGAAAACCUUGAUGGGAGGAGUUACUUAAACUAAGAAAAUGAAAGACAGAAAGACACCUAGUACCUCCAUAGCUCAUUAUAAACCAACCAAACAUUGCACACCACCAUUAAAACUCAACCACUCAGUAGUGACAAAAAUAUCACCAUUUUCUGGGAUCAGAAUUAUCCCAAUGACCAUAGGAAUGAAAAGAUGCAACCUUUUUUCCCCAAAUUUGACACAGAUAAGCAACAAGAAUCCAUAAUGAUGAAAACCAAGGAGGUAAAAGAGUAAAAGUUGGAACCUUUCGAGAAUUGGGAGCAACAACAACCCGGGAAGGCUUCUUCUUCAUCUUCUUAACAUCAACAGCAUACAAGUCAGCAUGCAGAUAGGCUGCCGGAACAUCGCUCUCACCAGAAGAAGAGCUGAACCUGAUCAAACCAGCUUGCCUUGCACACUCAAAAUACUGAGUGAUUGGCAGCUCAUUGGCAUAAUCCCAGUCCCCAAAAGCCGGAAUUUGACCGCUCCGUUUAUAGUAGUCCUGCCACCACCAUCAACCACAUCCAUGAUAAUUCAGCAAGAUAAACUACUUAAAACAACGAUAUCAAACAAGUGAAGCUAACACGGGAAUGUUGUUUGGAAGAAAAUUACUUACAUCCAUUGUGGAAGAAGGAAAGGAAGGAAAGGAAGGAAAUGAAGUUAUCACUGACAUUGUCAAGACGUUGAGAGAAUCAUUAAGGACCAUGUGGCGAUUCAUUCGAGCUGAUAAAAAUGCCAACAUAACUACUGCUUGUCGAAAAAGAUCAUUUCCAUCUAGCUUGGAUACAGAGCUUUUAGGACAAGUUCAAGCAGAUCUUCAAAAGAAAGAGAGGAUGCUUAAGGAGCUAAAGAGGAGUCAGAACCGGAUCAUAAAGAGAUUCCGAAAGCAUGAAGAAGGAGAAGAAGAUGAAGAGAGCGCUGAUCAUGUUCACUCUAGCUUCUUUUCUCAAGUUGACAUCAGAUUGGUUUCAAGGGUUCUGAACAUGUCAACUAUAACACAAGAUCAGCUAGUGUGGUGUCAAAGCAAGUUGAGCAAGAUACACUUCUUGAGGUGCAAGGUUCAUGAAGAUCCCUCUUUCUUGUGGUUUCCAUGUUAAUAGAGUCAACUUCUUUGUUCACUGAAACAAUCUAAAUUUCUUAUAUGUAAUUGUACAGUUGUAAUUCUAUAUUCCUGUAGUAGUACAAACAAUCUCUUCAGGAACUUUGCCGAAUACAAAAUAAUACUCCUAUAAAGAGAGAACAAAAAGAAAGUGAUGUAGAUGGUAGAUGCUCAUGCUCAUCCAACAUCCUCAUAUGAUGCUCAUGAUGCUCAUGCUCAUCCCCUCACAGGCCUAGCUUCAAGAAACGAAGUCAAGAUAGUUGAAAUGAUACCGGCUUCUUGACUCAACUCUAAUCCUGGUUUAACAGGCUAAAAGAGGUAAACGAGAUUCAUUUUGAUUGCUAACCUCUUAGUGUAUCAUAUGCAAAAGUUAAUUACCUAGUUUAGGGAAGAGCCUCAUGAAUCAGUCAGUGGGUGGUAGAAAAAGUUUCCUUGAUUAUACUAUCGUUGGCUGACCAUCCUUCUCCAGAAAUAGAAUGUUAAGUUGUCAUGGACUCACUCAAUUUCUACAGUUGGAGCGGCACGGCCUUACAAUGCAACCUUUCUUCCUUGAUUGAAGCAUGUUGAAGUUUCACUCGGGUUAUUGAUCUAUUUCUAGCAACUCUGGCAACAAAUGCUAUUGCGUACGAUAUUCACUCCUCCUAAUGAUCACAUCCUUUCGUUUGCUGUCAUUAAUGGGGAACAGUCUUUCAUCAUUGAGAAAGAGACUCACAUGCUUCUGAUAUCAAAUUUACAUCCUACAACAUAUGACGUAAGAUUAAAAGUAAAUGAGAAAAUAUGUAUUACAUAAGUAUAUAUGACAAACCAAAAAAUACUAACAGUCAGAAAAAAAAGAAUUUCACCUGAAGAAGUGAAUAAGAAUAAGAUUGAGAGAUGUUGUUUGUAGAUGAUGAAAGCCAUGAAGAGUUCGAAUACUCUUGGUGCUUGAAACGGAAAUUACUUAUGCCUGUCUACAACAUAAAAAGAGAAGAUAAUCAAUUAGAUAAAUACUGAGGACACUGCAACUUUUUUAGCUCUAAAUUGAUACAUGAGCAAUGCCAGAUUCAAUUGGUGUAAUUUGAAGCGAUUAAUCUAUAUGCAUUACUUAAUUUAGCUUACCGUGCUACGUAUUCUGAUGAUUUUACAAUGAGCUGCACAAGGCCUAGCCGUUUCACAUGUUGACGGGUUCUGCUUGUUCUAGGAGAGAUUAAAGUCUAAGUAAUUUAAGAGACCAUAACAAUGAAAAAUUACUGGUCGUGUUGAUCGUAGUUACUCUGACUUGCUACAAAAUAUUGAAGGGAAAUUCUACCUUCAAUGAACACGUGCCAAUAUAUGGGGAUGGAAGAUAACAGGAAAUGGAUGCCACUAGCAACUUCUGUGAAAAUGAAAGUAGUUGACAAUUAAUUUCCCCUGAAAAAAAUUAACUUGAUACAUCAAUGAUCACAUUACAUAAAUAACUAACUAUUUAGCUAGACAAAUCAUACAUAAAUGCUCCUCUGCGUUAAGCUUAUCAUGUGUUGCAAUAAGAGUUGUACAACAAUGAGCCGUCACCACAGAAAUCAGAAGUGAUUUACCAAGUUGAAAAAAUAAAAAAUAAAAAAAAUCACCCAUCCCAUAUGUGAUAACAAGUUGCAAACAUUGUAAUAUUUGGGAGGUGUGAAAUCUUACCAGAAGAGAAGACCAGUGAACAAUAUUUGGUCAUCUAAUUUUGAUGUGUGGGGCGUGAGAAAUCUUGGCCCACUACUCACUUGUUUUGUCCCGGAGAAUAUCACUGAGAAUCUCUGAACCGGAGAUGUCCACAGUCUGUAGUGGUGUGUUGCGCAGGAAGUCGGGCAGCGUACCAAGUUUCGGGCAACGAUGAAUUUCUAACGAAGACAGGCAGGGCAUUAUUAUAAUAUUAUUAUUCUGAAAAUCCCCUUCCCACUCUUCCCACUCUUCCAUAGCACCGAACUCGAGGGUUUUCAAUUUGGGGAAUAAAGACGAGGAGCCAUCAUCAUCAACUCCCAACAACAACUCGACUCCCACCUUUUUCACUUUGUUGAUCCCAGAAAAUACGAGAGACUCAAGCGACGGCAGUUUGCCCAAUGGACCCGAAAGCAGCUCACAGUUACCGAAUACACCGAGACGAAGCGUUUUCAACUUAUGUAAGGACAAGAUCCAAUUAGGCAAGAGAAUGCUGGCCUCACACCUCCAGAUACUCAACGAUUCCAAAUCUCUAUGUGGUUGCAACCCAUUCAGUAUUUCCAUAUCUAUGUGGCCCCCACCUUCUCGCCCACGACACUGGACACAUGCAAAAUCUAGUACCAGGUCAAAAAGACGUUUCUCACCCAAACAUGCCGCUACAGCCUCGCUCGCAUCUUCCACCGACUGCAAGUGUGAAAUGUAGAGACUCCCUUCAAGUUGGUGCAAGUCUUUUAAAUCUUCCAACUUCGACGUCCCUUCAUUGUCGGCACCUUUAUAACCAUUUAUAUGAAACGCAUCCAGCUUCUGCAAACCGGUUAACCCCCUUAUCCCUUUUGAUUUUAGACGACAGCACCUCCAGACAUAAAGAUGCUUUAGCUUGGUCAGCUUCCUCAUCGCCUCUUCAUCUGGUAAUUUGACAAGUUCACCGCAGAAUACAAGUCGCAAGGUUUGCAGAUUGUAUAGAUCACAUAAACUGUCAGGCAAUUCCUUCAAUUCAGAGUUCCACGACAAGUCCAGAUAUCUCAGAUGAAUCAAUCCACCAAUCUCCUUUGGAACUUCUAAAAUCGAGUUCUCACUCAAAUUCAAACUCCUAAGACUUUUUAAUUGCGAAAUCAACUCUACCCCGAUGCUAGUAAGUUUCGAUUCAAAACAUGUGAGAGUGCGAAGACUCUUACAGUUGAGAAAAGAAACCGGAAAAGGACCCUCUGGUGCAAACAUCAAAGAUAAAUGACGGACCUCAUCACCCGGUAACUCCAUUCUCUCAUUAGCACCCUUAACCACCAUACUAAAGCACUCAUCCUUGGUCAGGUAUUGCACAAAGUCAUGCACAAUAUCGUGCAUCUUACAUCUAGUAAUAUUUCCCAGCACAUCUUCCUUGAAAUCUUGAAAGAAAGACAGCAUUACUAAGUUUUCAAAACACCUUUGACCGACUAUUUUUCUCUCUUUGUUUCCUCCUUUGACUUCAAGAUAAUCUUGUGAUAUCCACAACUCAAUCAACUCAUCUUUAUCAAUUUCAUAAUCUUUAGGAAACGUGGCACAAUACAAGACACAACGUUUGGACAAUGAUUCUAAAUCAUAGUAACUUAGUAGUAAAGGUUGGAAAACCUGCUGCUCAAACUCUUGUAAUUCCCAGAUCUUACUAUUCAAAACAUCUACCCAUUGCUCUAUUGUAUUCUUAUACCGCAUUAGACUACCCAAAGUCUUUGCAGCAAGAGGCAAGCCUUUGCACCUCUUUACAAUUUUAU
rnacentral:lncRNA from 1 species